rnacentral:rRNA from 1 species
CCUACGGGUGGGCAGCAGUAGGGAAUUUUCGUCAAUGGGCGCAAGCCUGAACGAGCAAUGCCGCGUGAACGAGGAAGGUCUUCGGAUCGUAAAGUUCUGUUGAAGGGGAAAAAGAGCGGAGAGAGGAAAUGAUCUCCGAUUGAUAUUACCCUUCGCGGAAGUCACGGCUAACUACGUGCCAGCAGCCGCGGUAAUACGUAGGUGGCGAGCGUUAUCCGGAAUGAUUGGGCGUAAAGGGUGCGUAGGCGGCCUGCUAAGUCUGGAGUGAAAGGUACCGGCUCAACCGGUAUAGGCCCUGGAAACUGGCGGGCUAGAGAGGAGGAGAGGGAGGUGGAAUGCGAGGUGUAGCGGUAAAAUGCGUAGAUAUAUGGAAGAACACCAGUGGCGAAGGCGGCAGCCUGGCCUGUUACUGACGCUGAGGCACGAAAGCGUGGGGAGCAAAUAGGAUUAGAUACCCGAGUAGUC